rnacentral:rRNA from 1 species
UACGUAAGGUGCGAGCGUUGUCCGGAUUUAUUGGGCGUAAAGGGCUCGUAGGCGGCCUGUCGCGUCGGGAGUGAAAGCCCACUGCUUAACGGUGGGUCUGCUUCCGGUACGGGCGGGCUAGAGUAUGGCAGGGGAGACUGGAAUUCCUGGUGUAGCGGUGGAAUGCGCAGAUAUCAGGAGGAACACCGGUGGCGAAGGCGGGGUCUCUGGGCCAUUACUGACGCUGAGGAGCGAAAGCGUGGGGAGCGAACAGG